rnacentral:rRNA from 1 species
UGUUGGGUUAAGUCCCGCAACGAGCGCAACCCUUAUUUUUAGUUGCCUUUAUGGAACUCUAGAAAGACUGCCGGUUAUAAACCGGAGGAAGGCGGGGAUGACGUCAAGUCAGCAUGCCCCUUACACCCUGGGCUACACACGUGCUACAAUGGGCGAGACAAUGAGACGCAAAUCUGCGAAGACUAGCUAAUCUAUAAACUCGUUCUAAGUUCGGAUUGCAGGCUGCAACUCGCCUGCAUGAAGUUGGAAUCGCUAGUAAUCGCUGGUCAGCUAUACAGCGGUGAAUUCGUUCCCGGGCCUUGUACACACCGCCCGUCACACCAUGGGAGUGGGAUGCAAAAGAAGUAGUUAGUCUAACCUUCGGGAGGACGAUUACCACUUUGUGUUUCAUGACUGGGGUGAAGUCGUAACAAGGUAACCCUAGGGGAACCUGGGGUUGGAUCACCUCCUU